UCAGGCCUAACACAUGCAAGUCGAGCGGCAGCGGGAAAGUAGCUUGCUACUUUUGCCGGCGAGCGGCGGACGGGUGAGUAAUGCCUGGGAAAUUGCCCAGUCGAGGGGGAUAACAGUUGGAAACGACUGCUAAUACCGCAUACGCCCUACGGGGGAAAGCAGGGGACCUUCGGGCCUUGCGCGAUUGGAUAUGCCCAGGUGGGAUUAGCUAGUUGGUGAGGUAAUGGCUCACCAAGGCGACGAUCCCUAGCUGGUCUGAGAGGAUGAUCAGCCACACUGGAACUGAGACACGGUCCAGACUCCUACGGGAGGCAGCAGUGGGGAAUAUUGCACAAUGGGGGAAACCCUGAUGCAGCCAGGCCGCGUGUGUGAAGAAGGCCUUCGGGUUGUAAAGCAAAUGAGCGAGGAGGAAAGGUCAGUAGCUAAUAUCUG
rnacentral:rRNA from 1 species